rnacentral:rRNA from 1 species
UUAAAAAGCUCGUAGUUGGAUUUCGGAGUGGGCCAGUUGGUCCGCCGCAAGGUGUGUUACUGACUGGUUUGCUCUUCUUCGCAAAGACUGCGUGUGCUCUUUAGUGAGUGUGCGUAGGAUUUACGACGUUUACUUUGAAAAAAUUAGAGUGUUCAAAGCAGGCUAUUGCUUGAAUACAUGAGCAUGGAAUAAUGGAAUAGGACUUUGGUCCCAUUUUGUUGGUUUCUAGGACCGAAGUAAUGAUUAAGAGGGACAAUUGGGGGCAUCCGUAUUUCGUUGUCAGAGGUGAAAUUCUUGGAUUUACGAAAGACGA